GUACUACUCCCUCCGAUCCAUAUUACUUGUCGCUCAAAUGGAUGUAUGUAGCACUAAAAUAUGUCUAGAUACAUCCGUUUGAGCGACAAGUAAUAUGGAUCGGAGGGAGUACCUU
rnacentral:pre_miRNA from 1 species